rnacentral:rRNA from 1 species
CCUACGGGUGGCAGCAGUGAGGAAUAUUGGUCAAUGGCCGUAAGGCUGAACCAGCCAAGUCGCGUGAAGGAAGAUGGCCCUAUGGGUUGUAAACUUCUUUUAUAGGGGAAUAAAGUUAUCCACGUGUGCAUAUUGGCAUGUACCCUAUGAAUAAGAAUCGGCUAACUCCGUGCCAGCAGCCGCGGUAAUACGGAGGAUGCGAGCGUUAUCCGGAUUUAUUGGGUUUAAAGGGUGCGUAGGUGGUAUUUUAAGUCAGGGGUGAAAGUUUGUGGCUCAACCAUAAAAUUGCCGUUGAAACUGGAAGACUUGAGUGUGUUUGAGGUAGGCGGAAUGCGUGGUGUAGCGGUGAAAUGCAUAGAUAUCACGCAGAACUCCGAUUGCGAAGGCAGCUUACUAAGCCAUGACUGACACUGAUGCACGAAAGCGUGGGUAUCAAACAGGAUUAGAUACCCGAGUAGUC